CCCUCCUCCUCCUCCACCUCCACCAGUAUCAGGAGCUGUGCCCCCUCCUCCUCCUCCACCUCCACCAAUAUCAGGAGCUGUACCACCACCACCUCCUCCACCUCCAUUUCACCCACGUUAAUAACAAUAAGAACAAUAUAGUUCAUGUUGUUGGAUGACUUUAUGUUUGGUAGAUUAAAACAGUUCACGGUGUGAGCAGACACGCUGGGUUUUCUGCCUUAAGAUGGAUGUGUGCAUGUGCAGCAUGUUUUUCUUUUUAGAUCAACGUUAAGCAUAAAUAAAAACUUGGAAAUGUGUCUGUAGUGGUUUAACCUUGAGCUAUUUCAUCUGUGUUGAAUGGCACAGGACGAGCCACAAAUGAUGUUUUUUUUUUUGGGACAGAAAAUCCUCCUUCAAAGUGAAACACUCUGCAGCUCUGAAUGCUGCCGAGCAUGUUUCAACAACACCUUGACUGCAUUCCUAAGAAACAAGCUGAAACAGGGAUUCUUGCAUUUCCUUGUUUCCUUUCUUUUCCCCCGUAAUGUAAUUUCCCUUCCUGACAUCUUUGUGUCAUUGCAGUGUUUCUUAAUCAGUAAGAGUUACCUUAAGAGCCAGUGGCCUUUUGCUCAACACUGACACCGUACUGUGUGAUGAGAGCAGUGUGAAUGAUGGAGUCCUUUACGUCACUUGCUGUAACCUCGGCACGUUCUGCUACUUUAAUCAGGUCAAUGAGGCUAUAAAAUGUCUGUUGCAAGUCAACACUCUACUUAACCUGCACUACAUGGCUGGUACUUGAAGGUAAGCUUUAUUCUCAGCAAGGAAAAUAUCACAUUAGUCAGGGACACUUGUUUAAACUCGUUAAAUCGUUUGCUUUGCUGUAUUGGGUUUAAUUCUGCUCAGCAAGGCCUGAAAAAAAACGACCUGCCUGGUCACACGAGGCCCAUUAUUGUAUAUCCAUCCGAAAGAUAAAGGAAAUGUCUCUCUACUGCCUUUAAUUACUGUCUUCUUUUACUUUAACAGAUCAGAAUUCAAUUCUAUGAUCAUAUAUGUAAGAAAAGAAGAAAGACCCAGAAAAGCUACAAAUACUGUACAGCUUUAACUUUGAGCCUUUGUGUUACGUAGACGCAGUAACCAUUCUUUUUGUGAAACCUGAUUUGGAAAAUAAAACUGCCAUGGUCAUUUAUCUCAUUGCGAUUCAGAUUCCCUUCUUUUUUAUUGGGAUCGUUCUGUGGAUUCUUUGUUGUCAUUUAGCAAAGAAACAGAGGGAAACAGAAGACUGGGCCUCAAGUUCCAGUUCUCCAUCUGUUUAUAUCAUCCCCAUACACGAGGAGGAGGAGGACGAGGAAGUAAUGGACAUACAUGCUCCUUAUUUUCAUCCCCCUUACAGAGACCCUCCUGUGUACAGCUCAGGAAACGUCAGUCCGCCACCGUACUGGCUUGAACCACCAUCCUACUCCGACCCACCACCAUCCUACCCAGAGCCACCACCAUCAUACACAGACCUUCCAGCUUACUCAGAGCAGCCCUGAUCCUCCUCACCUUCCUCCUCCUCCAAUUCAAACACCCUCCAGCCUAAACACAUUUUACUUUUCAUUGUAAGGCAGGUUUAUGGAUGGUUUACUUGUACUUAACUGCUUUAAAUCUGUUCCCAGAUGUUCUUUUUUUUAAGGUCUUUCUGUGACGUCACUGUUGCUAUUACUUCUGCACAAAUUUUAUUUAUAGUAGACAUGCUCAACUUUUUUCUACACCUACAAAUCUCUUCACAUAUUUUCUCUUGCAGUGUCUCAUCACAGCUUUUCCAAAGGUGACAUGCAACCACAGAUUUUGAAAGUCUUUCUGAACACUAUUAUCAUCUAAAUCUUUCUGACCCUUAUUUGAGCCCAUAAAUGUUACUGUAACUUUUAGCGUAUAUAUGUGGUUAUGUGUUUUAUUUAGGGACAUAUCUGUACAGGAUUAAUCAACCUGGAAACAAUCCACUGUGUGGAAGGGAGUAACUUUAUUUGAUUGACACAACUACUGAAUCAAAUGUACCUUAUGUUAUGAUAAAGGUAAGAGGUAAAAUAUUUAAAUAUACAUAUUGUAUACAUGUUUUAAUUAAACUGUGGUUACUUUAUAGUUUAUGCGAUUUACAAAAUUAAGCAAUUUAUACUCAUGA